CAUGGAUGAUUUUCUACCUGGAGAUCCCUUCUACUGUAGUAUUUUGUGUUCUGUGGUUCUUGUGACAGAGCAGUGCUGACAUUUCUUGAGCCUGCUGUAUCUGAAUAAAUGGAGAAAAUCAGAGCAUUUACCCUUCCGAAGAGCAGGUGGGUGCACCAUGCUGGUCAGCCAUGAUAAGGGGCUGAUGAACACUGGACAUGCUCUGGGGAGCCUGAAAGGCAGUUUUUCAAUUGCAUUGGAUUUUGCCCUGGUAUUUUUUUGAGUGGGGAGAAGAGAUUUCAGAUGGAAAAAAAAAAAAAAAUCAGCAAUGAUCCAGGAACGUCAAGCUGUUUCCCUCUGGAAACUGGGAACUGCUGAUUGCUACAAAUCUGUUUAAGGUUGGAAAAUCUGCAGCUGGCAGAGACAUCACUGAGGCUUAUGGUAAAGUCCCUGAGGCUUUCUGUCUACUGAUGAAUUGAUGAAAGGCUUCAGUGAGUGAGCAUGUGCAGGUGUCUUUCUGCCCAUUUCCUUGAACCGAAAAGUGCUUUAUUCUGGAAGCUGAUCCUCUGAAAUCAGUCACAAAACAUAUGUUGUAAUGGGAAUGAGAGUAGCUAAAUCUGGCCUGAAGAAAACUGACAGAAAUGAUGCAUUUCACCUGAAGAAAGCUUGACACAAUGUAAAGAAGGAAAACCACAAAUAAAUCAAUUUAAACUCAAAUUCAUUUGCACAAGUACCCAAAAACCAAUUUUUCACACUGUGAGUCAUUGCUUCCCGUUCUCUAGCUCUCUGAACAGAGGUUAAGUGGGAUGGAGGCUUUGAUGGAGAUGAGCAGCUUUCAGCUGCUGGUGGGUGACUUGCUGCUGAUGUCGCCUGUAGGCUCCCAUGGGGAGGUGAUGUAAGGAUAAAUUGGAGAGCAAAUGCAGGCAGAUGUGACUGACCACAGGAUGCUAAUGCGAGCUACUGCUAUUACAAGUGCUGGAGACAGUACACGUUUCUGAGUCUGUCAUUACUAGCAACUCUGAGAUUUUUUGCUGGGAAAAAGCACUUUGUUGAAAUUACAGCACUUGCUCUGAGUGCAAAAUGCUUUGAGUUUAAGUGAGUCAAAGGAGAAGAUACUGCUUGUGCUAGACAUGGGGAUUUCAAUCCUUCAGAGAGAUGAGAAAAAACUAAUGUUUAAUGACUGUGUGCACAUCCAGUAAUUACUGAAGAAUGAAGUCUGAUAUCAGUAGUAGGGAAGAGUGAGGGUAUGUAAGGCUCCCUUUAAAUGAAAGGAAUUUGGGGAAGGGAAGUAUGUGCAUUCAUGGCUGCUGUUUCAUUUGAAAAGUUGUCUUGUAAUGAAAAUAUGCUGCCUCUCUUUUAAAUAAAAUGGGAAAUGGGCUAAGUUGCUAGAAAUACUUCAUAAAAACACUUAUCUGAGAUUAAAGCAGGGAGCUUGGACCCUGGAUUCUUUUUCCUGUUUUAUAACAUCAUCACUUAUGUUUCCUUGACUGAAUCAUUAAAUCUGAAGUAAUCUAGAAAAGAAUCUCUUCGUUCUGUAUGC